rnacentral:rRNA from 1 species
GAGCUUGCUCUGUGGGAUCAGUGGCGAACGGGUGAGUAACACGUGAGCAACCUGCCCCUGACUCUGGGAUAAGCGCUGGAAACGGCGUCUAAUACUGGAUAUGUGACGUGACCGCAUGGUCUGCGUUUGGAAAGAUUUUUCGGUUGGGGAUGGGCUCGCGGCCUAUCAGCUUGUUGGUGAGGUAAUGGCUCACCAAGGCGUCGACGGGUAGCCGGCCUGAGAGGGUGACCGGCCACACUGGGACUGAGACACGGCCCAGACUCCUACGGGAGGCAGCAGUGGGGAAUAUUGCACAAUGGGCGAAAGCCUGAUGCAGCAACGCCGCGUGAGGGAUGACGGCCUUCGGGUUGUAAACCUCUUUUAGCAGGGAAGAAGCGAAAGUGACGGUACCUGCAGAAAAAGCGCCGGCUAACUACGUGCCAGCAGCCGCGGUAAUACGUAGGGCGCAAGCGUUAUCCGGAAUUAUUGGGCGUAAAGAGCUCGUAGGCGGUUUGUCGCGUCUGCUGUGAAAUCCCGAGGCUCAACCUCGGGCCUGCAGUGGGUACGGGCAGACUAGAGUGCGGUAGGGGAGAUUGGAAUUCCUGGUGUAGCGGUGGAAUGCGCAGAUAUCA